GAAAGAAAAGAUACAGGCACGUGCAAGGUGGAAAAGUGCAAAAGAGGCUGCUAAAAAGCAUGCAGUUGAAUUGCAAGGGCAAUUUUCUCGCAAGUUUUCUCGCAAGCGAAAUAUAACAGUCAGUGACAAGGUCACAGUACUGAAUGAGGAAUAUACUGAUACCGAUGGUAAUCCAUAUCCAUUAAAUGAGCAAAGUACUUCUUUAGUGUCCAAC
rnacentral:misc_RNA from 1 species